rnacentral:rRNA from 1 species
UUUGAACGCAAGUUGCGCCCGAGGCCAUUCGGUUGAGGGCACGCCUGCCUGGGCGUCACGC